CUAAUGCGAGAAAAAUUCCGCUAAGUGAAAGUUCUGGACGCGGAGUUUGUAAAUACCACGCUGCAUAUUUCCACAUCCACGACGAAAUAGCUGUAGGACCCUGUUCAAUAAGGCAGAUUAUCAAGAUGAAGUGGGCCGGGACCAAAUGGAUGCCUGUUUCUCAGCAAGCGGUGUCCAACUGCUAAAUUACCCCGGUCUUAUCAGUAUGGGCUAUCAUUAAAGCCGGGGGUUUUCGAUGCACACAUGUGACCCUUCAUGGGCCAUAGGAAUAUGAAGACCGCUUCUUGUAUAUCUUUUCCAUCACGGAACAAUGGUGUUCCGGACCUUUGGGAGGCGUGCGCGGAGCCGUAGGCAACACAUACGGGAUCAUAUCAAUUACGUGGACAAGUCGUAUGGUGGGACAACCUACGACCCCUUUAUAUGGAGCAACAGCGUUAGUCGAGAUUACUUCGAGCAGCUGGCAUGUGUGGCACCAGCGAAAUAGUGUACAUUAGAUAUGGGAACAAGUCAACUACAUCAUUAACAUGGACGCGUCGUACGGCAGGGCAACCCACGACGCCUUCAUAUGUAGCAAUAGCAUUAGUCAAGACUACUUCGAGCAGCGGGCAUGUGGUACCAGCGAAAUAGCGCACAUUAGGUAGAAGACUCCGGGUAUCCACUGCGGGAACACGGGACACCUUAUGAUUUCUGCAAGCGGCGCCGCAGAAGAAUCCCCGAGGCUAUAACGCCAUACAAAAGAAGGCGCGCUCCACUAUAGAGCUAACAUUUGGGAUAUUAAAAGUUACACCACCACCAUGGCCACUACUGUCUGAUCUGUGAUCCGUGCUGUGCCUAUACGCGAAGACCGUACUCCCGACGACGGCGAUGAAAAUAACACUGCCGGCUUUUCAAGGAGCUACAUUACCAGCUGAUAAUGCAACUAUUACCCAAUGCCCCGUACCUACGUAGUAUAGAAGAAGACUAAGACUUAUCUACUAUAUAAGCAGAGGCUAGCAAACUAGUCUUAUUUCCUAUGAGGCCAUGCUGUGGUAAUUAUUAAAUUCACCUUAGAAAGCUAAUGUAAGGCAUAAGGAUAAUAAGGCACAUAUAUUUGAAUCGCCUCCUUUACAGGAAUAAAUUGUGUAAUUUAUUGUACCUGCUAGUUAAACUAAUACACGAUUAGCAGCACUAAGAGUUGUAUUGGCCAAGUUGACUACGGAGUAAUAUACCUAGCAGGUACAAUAAAUUACAUUUGUUUCUGAGUGAUUUAAAAUAUGUGUCUUAACCAGACACAGAUUGUGCCGAUUGUGUUAUUAACUAUGAUUGCAUAACUUUGUCUAGUAUAGUUCUGAAUAUUUGACCAUCGAUAUAAAUGAUGUAGAUAUACAAAGAUAGAUAGAUAGAAUACUUUAAAAUUUAAAGAUGUAUAAUGCGUGUGUUUAUUUUUUAAGAUGUAUGUAUUGUUCAAAAUUCCAUGGCAGAAUUUUGUUACAAAACAAUCAGUGUAGUAGUAUAGUAUAUAACGAUAAGCAAACAUGUUACUCGUAAAGGAAUAAUUACACACGAACGAAAUAUAUAAGACUUGUAAUGUAAAAAUCUAAAUGUUAUAUUAUAUCUGAGUUGUGUAAACUUCGAAAACUUUUGGCUGUGGCGGCGAACAAUUAUUUCAUGACACGGCAGGCGUGCCUUACGCCAUAGAAUAUGAUCGCACGCCUGUCGUGUCAUGCGCCACACGUUGAAAUCAUUGAUGACACGCCUGUCGUGCCAACCGCACCGAAACGGUUAUAAAUGUACCUAUGAUAAAUAAUUUUAUAAGGUUAGGUAGGCUAUUUUAUUUCUUACUCUUGUAUGUGCAAAUAAACAUAGUCAAUGAUUAGUCAAUAAUAUGUAAAUGACAUUAGAGUGAGACCAAGAUAAGUAUGCAGCUAUUUUUAUAGCACAAACGUGCAAGUGUAUUUUAAAUUCCAAAUUUCUAUGAAAUUAUGUAUUUAAAUAACAUUUGCGCGUCUGUGCUAUAAAAAUCGCUUAAUAUCUUGGUCUGACUAACUCUUUUCGAAUGUAGACAAUAAGGGAGGAGGAGGAAGCUUCUGCCCAUUUGCCGCCUGUUUGUGCAUGUGCUGCAUUCAGCUAGUCCCAAAUUUUAUUAUAUUAAUAUUUAAAAUAUAAUUAUACAAUUUUAACCCUUUACCAGGCUAACAUUUCGAAAAUGACAAUUGAAUGUCUUACUCAUCAAAAAUAGAACAGAUGUUUGAAGUGCCAUACGUGGGAAAUAUAACCCUUAACCCUUAGCCUGGUAAAAUUGUUAAAUUUUUUACACAAA